rnacentral:rRNA from 1 species
CUACGGGACGCACCAGUGGGGAAUAUUGCACAAUGGACGAAAGUCUGAUGCAGCAACGCCGCGUGGAGGAUGACACAUUUCGGUGCGUAAACUCCUUUUAUAUAGGAAGAUAAUGACGGUACUAUAUGAAUAAGCGCCGGCUAACUCCGUGCCAGCAGCCGCGGUAAUACGGAGGGCGCAAGCGUUACUCGGAAUCACUGGGCGUAAAGGGCGUGUAGGCGGAUAGAUAAGUCAGGAGUGAAAUCCUAUGGCUCAACCAUAGAACUGCUCUUGAAACUGUCUAUCUAGAAUAUGGGAGAGGUAGAUGGAAUUUCUGGUGUAGGGGUAACAUCCGUAGAGAUCAGAAGGAAUACCGAUUGCGAAGGCGAUCUACUGGAACAUUAUUGACGCUGAGACGCGAAAGCGUGGGGAGCAAACAGGAUUAGAUACCCCUGUAGUC